rnacentral:rRNA from 1 species
GACGAACGCUGGCGGCGUGCCUAAUACAUGCAAGUCGAACGCUGAAGGAGGAGCUUGCUUCUCUGGAUGAGUUGCGAACGGGUGAGUAACGCGUAGGUAACCUGCCUGGUAGCGGGGGAUAACUAUUGGAAACGAUAGCUAAUACCGCAUAAUAGUAGAUGUUGCAUGACAUUUGCUUAAAAGGUGCAAUUGCAUCACUACCAGAUGGACCUGCGUUGUAUUAGCUAGUUGGUGGGGUAACGGCUCACCAAGGCGACGAUACAUAGCCGACCUGAGAGGGGGAUCGGCCACACUGGGACUGAGACACGGCCCAGACUCCUACGGGAGGCAGCAGUAGGGAAUCAUCGGAAAAGGACGGAAGUCUGACCGAGCCAAGCCGCGGGAGUGAAGAAGGUUCUCGGAUCGUAAAACUCUGUUGUAAGAGAAGAACGAGUGUGAGAGUGGAAAGUUCACAUUGUGACGGUAUCUUAACAGAAAGGGACGGCUAACUACGUG